rnacentral:rRNA from 1 species
GCUUACGGCCACACCGCCUUUGGUUCACGCCCGAUCUCGUUUGACUCGGAAGCUAAGAUAGGUUGGGCCUGGUUAGUACUUGGAUGGGAGACCGCCUGGGAAUACCAGGUGCUGUAAGCU